rnacentral:piRNA from 1 species
CCUGCAUUUCUCUUGGAGUUCUACUCUUCGG